rnacentral:ribozyme from 1 species
ACAAUUAAAAAAGCACAAAAAAAAAGAAACGAAGUAAUAUAUAUAUAUAUUCCUUCCUUUUGCCUACCUUGUAU